rnacentral:rRNA from 1 species
UACGUAGGGUGCGAGCGUUAAUCGGAAUUACUGGGCGUAAAGCGUGCGCAGGCGGCUUUGCAAGACAGAUGUGAAAUCCCCGGGCUCAACCUGGGAACUGCAUUUGUGACUGCAAGGCUAGAGUGCGGCAGAGGGGGAUGGAAUUCCGCGUGUAGCAGUGAAAUGCGUAGAUAUGCGGAGGAACACCGAUGGCGAAGGCAAUCCCCUGGGCCUGCACUGACACUCAUGCACGAAAGCGUGGGGAGCAAACAGG